AUUGAACGCUGGCGGAAUGCUUUACACAUGCAAGUCGAACGGUAGAGGGGGCAACCCCUCGAGAGUGGCGAACGGGUGAGUAAUAUAUCGGAACGUGCCCAGUCGUGGGGGAUAACGUAGCGAAAGUUACGCUAAUACCGCGUACGAUCUAAGGAUGAAAGCGGGGGAUCGCAAGACCUCGCGCGAUUGGAGCGGCCGAUAUCAGAUUAGGUAGUUGGUGGGGUAAAGGCUCACCAAGCCAACGAUCUGUAGCUGGUCUGAGAGGACGACCAGCAACACUGGAACUGUGACACGGUCCAGACUCCUACGGGAGGCAGCAGUGGGGAAUUUUGGACAAUGGACGCAAGUCUGAUCCAGCCAUUCCGCGUGCAGGAUGAAGGCCCUCGGGUUGUAAACUGCUUUUGUACGGAACGAAAAGGUCUCUCUUAAUACGGGGGACUCAUGACGGUACCGUAAGAAUGAGCACCGGCUAACUACGUGCCAGCAGCCGCCGUAA
rnacentral:rRNA from 1 species